AUUGAACGCUGGCGGCAUGCCUUACACAUGCAAGUCGAACGGUAACAGGUCUUCGGAUGCUGACGAGUGGCGAACGGGUGAGUAAUGCAUCGGAACGUGCCCAGUAGUGGGGGAUAGCCCGGCGAAAGCCGGAUUAAUACCGCAUACGACCUGAGGGGGAACGGGGGGGAUGGCAAGACCUCUCGCAAUUGGAGCGGCCGGUGUCAGAUUAGCUAGUUGGUGGGGUAAAGGCCUACCAAGGCAACGAUCUGUAGUUGGUCUGAGAGGACGACCAGCCACACUGGGACUGAGACACGGCCCAGACUCCUACGGGAGGCAGCAGUGGGGAAUUUUGGACAAUGGGCGCAAGCCUGAUCCAGCAAUGCCGCGUGCAGGAAGAAGGCCUUCGGGUUGUAAACUGCUUUUGUCAGGGAAGAAAUCUUCUGGGUUAAUACCUCGGGAGGAUGACGGUACCUGAAGAAUAAGCACCGGCUAACUACGUGCCAGCAGCCGCCGCGGUAA
rnacentral:rRNA from 1 species